CGGGGGGGCGAAGCGUUGUUCGGAAUUACUGGGCGUAAAGGGCUCGUAGGCGGCCAACUAAGUCAGACGUGAAAUCCCUCGGCUUAACCGGGGAACUGCGUCUGAUACUGGAUGGCUUGAGUUUGGGAGAGGGAUGCGGAAUUCCAGGUGUAGCGGUGAAAUGCGUAGAUAUCUGGAGGAACACCGGUGGCGAAGGCGGCAUCCUGGACCAACACUGACGCUGAGGAGCGAAAGCCAGGGGAGCAAACGGGAUUAGAUACCCCGGUAGUCCUGGCCCUAAACGAUGAAUGCUUGGUGUGACGGGUAUCGAUCCCUGUCGUGCCGAAGCUAACGCAUUAAGCAUUCCGCCUGGGGAGUACGGUCGCAAGGCUG
rnacentral:rRNA from 1 species